rnacentral:rRNA from 1 species
GACGUAGGGCGCGAGCGUUGUCCGGAUUUAUUGGGCGUAAAGAGCUCGUAGGCGGCUUGUCGCGUCGUCUGUGAAAUCCCGCCGCUCAACUGCGGGCCUGCAGGCGAUACGGGCAGGCUAGAGUUCGGUAGGGGAGACUGGAAUUCCUGGUGUAGCGGUGAAAUGCGCAGAUAUCAGGAGGAACACCGGUGGCGAAGGCGGGUCUCUGGGCCGAUACUGACGCUCAUGCACGAAAGCGUGGGGAGCAAACAGG